rnacentral:rRNA from 1 species
GACGAACGCUGGCGGCGUGCUUAACACAUGCAAGUCGAACGGAAAGGCCCUGCUUUUGUGGGGUGCUCGAGUGGCGAACGGGUGAGUAACACGUGAGUAACCUGCCCUUGACUUUGGGAUAACUUCAGGAAACUGGGGCUAAUACCGGAUAGGAGCUCCUGCUGCAUGGUGGGGGUUGGAAAGUUUCGGCGGUUGGGGAUGGACUCGCGGCUUAUCAGCUUGUUGGUGGGGUAGUGGCUUACCAAGGCUUUGACGGGUAGCCGGCCUGAGAGGGUGACCGGCCACAUGGGGACUGAGAUACGGCCCAGACUCCUACGGGGGGGAGGAGGGGGGAAUAUUGCAAAAUGGGCGGAAGCCUGAGGCAGCAACGCCGGGUGGGGGAUGACGGCCUUCGGGUUGUAAACCGCUUUCGCCUGUGACGAAGCGGGAGUGACGGUAAUGGGUAAAGAAGCACCGGCUAACUACGG